rnacentral:rRNA from 1 species
UACGGAGGGUGCAAGCGUUAUCCGGAUUCACUGGGUUUAAAGGGUGCGUAGGUGGGUCUGAAAGUCAGUGGUGAAAUCUCCGUGCUUAACAUGGAAACUGCCAUUGAUACUUCAGGUCUUGAAUUUUCUGGAGGUUAGCGGAAUAUGUCAUGUAGCGGUGAAAUGCUUAGAUAUGACAUAGAACACCAAUUGCGAAGGCAGCUAACUACGGGAACAUUGACACUGAGGCACGAAAGCGUGGGGAUCAAACAGG